rnacentral:rRNA from 1 species
CAGCAGCCACGGGAAUACGUAGGGUGCGAGCGUUAAUCGGAAUUACUGGGCGUAAAGCGUGCGCAGGCGGUUGUGUAAGACAGGUGUGAAAUCCCCGGGCUUAACCUGGGAACUGCGCUUGUGACUGCACAGCUAGAGUAUGGCAGAGGGGGGUGGAAUUCCACGUGUAGCAGUGAAAUGCGUAGAGAUGUGGAGGAACACCGAUGGCGAAGGCAGCCCCCUGGGCCAAUACUGACGCUCAUGCACGAAAGCGUGGGGAGCAAACAGGAUUAGAGACCCGCGUAGUCCCUGUCUCUUAUAC